rnacentral:rRNA from 1 species
AUUGAACGCUGGCGGCAUGCCUUACACAUGCAAGUCGAACGGUAACAGGUCUUCGGAUGCUGACGAGUGGCGAACGGGUGAGUAAUACAUCGGAACGUGCCUAGUAGUGGGGGAUAACUACUCGAAAGAGUGGCUAAUACCGCAUGAGAUCUACGGAUGAAAGCAGGGGAUCGCAAGACCUUGUGCUACUAGAGCGGCCGAUGGCAGAUUAGGUAGUUGGUGGGAUAAAAGCUUACCAAGCCGACGAUCUGUAGCUGGUCUGAGAGGACGGUCAGCCACACUGGGAGUGAGACACAGACCAGACACCUACGGGAGGCAGCAGUGGGGAAUUUUGGACAAUGGGCGAAAGCCUGAUCCUGCAAUGCCGCGUGCAGGAUGAAGGCCUUCGGGUUGUAAACUGCUUUUGUACGGAACGAAAAGCCCCGGGUUAAUACCCUGGGGUCAUGACGGUACCGUAAGAAUAAGCACCGGCUAACUACGUGCCAGCCGCCGCAGUAA